rnacentral:rRNA from 1 species
GCAGGAACGCNAGUCUUCCGGACUUCAACUUCUUUGAUCUCAAAUCAGGUAGGAUUACCC